UUGGCGGGGCUGCAUCAAUGUAACACCCAAAAUUUUGAAUAAUUUAAAUUCAUUAAAAUUUGCUCAAAUUAAGGUGUCAUUUAAAUUCUAGGCAUUUAAUUUCAUUUUCUUUAAGUAAAUUAAUUCAUCAUAGGAAUUAUUUGUGCAUUCAUGUUGGUGCAUUUAUUUUGAUUGCUUGAGUUUGAUUUAAAUCUUGAAUUUCCAAAUUUGAAUGCAUUAUCCAAAUCAAUUCCUAUUUCUCUUUCUCUUUUUUCCUUCUUCUUCACCUGGG
rnacentral:lncRNA from 1 species